CAGCAUAUUGAUGACACCCUCGUUAUACGCAGCAAACAACCGUAUGGAAUCUUUGAAGAGCAGCAUGAAGGCGGUGUUGAUGACGCCGUUGCUCAGCUCGUUGGAGUUGGGCUGUGGGUUGUAGUGUACGCACACGGACUCAGACCAGAUGCCGUCAUUGCACCCGGUGACGCCGCUGUUUUGUAUCAAGUGCUUACCUGGAAAUCCAGCAGCGCAUCCAGCUGGUUCUGAAUGAUCGGAAGCGUCUUAAUCAGCUUGUCUGUGUUCAUGGUGCGCAUCACGCCGUCGGCCCUGGUGACAUAACAGAUUUUGACGGGGCGGUCUUAUGGAAAUGAGCUUCUGCCUCCCGUAUUGCACAGCCAAUUCCAGCGUCCUCACCUCGUUGCCGUACAUCAUCAGGUGAUGCGUGGCGAUCAGCGCCUUGAAGACCACGAUCCAGCUGUUGCUGGCUGUGCGCUCGAGCAGCGUGUCUGCCAGUCAAGGUGCUUCUUCUUGGGUCCGCUCACUUCGUGCGUCGUGGCCUUGCAGACGGCUUUGCUGAUGGCCGAGCCGCUCAUGCUGUGCUGCGCGGCGACGAUCCGGUCCGUCAGAGUCGGCCCGGACAUGGUGGAGGAGGAGCGGCUUCGGCUGGAGCCUGGAGGAGGUGACGGGGAUUGGGGGGCCAGGACUCAUCAUUUGGGACAUGACAAGCAGCCGAGGUGCUCCUUGGUGGCAUUGGCAUACCCCGAGAGGACCAGGGUGGCGGGCUCUCGCUCGUUUGGGUGACUCUCCUCGUUGCUCAGGAUGUGCUCCACCAGACAGUGAGCAGCCUCCUCGAUGUUGCUGUUUUCCUAAGGGAGGGGAAAUCAUCAAGCCAUCUGUCCAUUUCCUGAGGCGCUUUUCCUCAUUAGGUGGUGCCUCCUGCUUGAUUAUGGCCUUCCUAGCCCAGCUGAGGUACUUGAUGGUAAACAACACGCAAUGCAGAAAACCUUGGCAGAGGUCUGGAACCAGCCGACGAAGCCGUUGUCUCUGCAGAAGGCAUCCAGCCUGGUCUGCGGGCACGCUACUUGGUCAGCCUUGUUGGCUAAUAGGACGGCGGGAACGGGUCUCCCGUGGUUCAGUGUCACCUUUGGACAUAAACAAGAUUGAAAGUGGGUCCUCACCGGCAAUGUCCCAGAGCUGCAGUCGGAUGACAGUGUCCCGGUCCCACUGGAGCACCUUGAGAGCGAAGUCGACACCGAUAGUGGCACGAUAGUGCUGUGAGAAGAUGUGGUGCACGUAGCGCUUGAUGAUGGACGU